rnacentral:rRNA from 1 species
GACGAACGCUGGCGGCGUGCUUAACACAUGCAAGUCGAACGGGAAACAUUUUAUUGAAGCUUCAGCAGAUUUAGUUUGUUUCUAGUGGCGGACGGGUGAGUAACGCGUGGGUAACCUGCCUCACACUGGGGGAUAACAGUCAGAAAUGACUGCUAAAUACCGGCAUAAGCGCACGGAACCGCAUGGUUUUGUGUGAAAAACUCCGGUAGGUGUGAGAUAGGACCCGCGUUGGAUUAGCCAGUUGGCAGGGUAAC